rnacentral:rRNA from 1 species
AUGAGUCCAGUUGAGAUUCCCCACUGGUUUGAUCAUGUUCCCAACUCAGUGUGUGUGGAUGGAAAGAGGCUGCGGCAAUCUGCAAUGCCUGUUGACCCCAUGUCCAAGGUGCUCGACGAUGAUAACCUUCUCAUCGAGAUCCUCCUGCUAAUCGGCUACCCCACCACCCUCAUCUGCGCUGCUCUCGUCUGCAAACGUUGGUUCUGUCAUGCCUCUGACCCUGCCUUCCUCUGCCGCUUCCGCAAGCUCCACCCUCCCCGCCUCCUUGGCGUAUAUUUCAAGACCAGGGCGAACCACUCACGCUUUGUGCCGAUGCUACCACAGCCCCCAGAGAAUGAUGCAGUCAUCAGCUGCGCAAGCUCCGUGGAUGCACAUAAACUCAUGUUGGAUGACUGGAAUGACAUCAUCUUCACCAAAACAUUUAACAACUGCGAUGAAGAACCCGGAUGA